rnacentral:rRNA from 1 species
UACGAAGGGGGCUAGCGUUGUUCGGAAUUACUGGGCGUAAAGCGUAUGCAGGCGGAUCGUUAAGUCGGGGGUGAAAUCCCGAGGCUCAACCUCGGAACUGCCUUCGAUACUGGCGAUCUUGAGUCCGGGAGAGGUGAGUGGAACUCCGAGUGUAGAGGUGAAAUUCGUAGAUAUUCGCAAGAACACCAGUGGCGAAGGCGGCUCACUGGCCCGGUACUGACGCUGAGGCACGAAAGCGUGGGGAGCAAACAGG